GACGAACCGUGCGAACGUUGUUCGGAAUCACUGGGCAUAAAGGGCGCGUAGGCGGCUCGCGAGGUCGGGGGUGAAAUCCCACAGCUUAACUGUGGAAGUGCCUUCGAUACCGGCGGGCUGGAGGAAGGUAGGGGUGCGCGGAACUUCUGGUGGAGCGGUGAAAUGCGUUGAUAUCAGAAGGAACGCCGGCGGCGAAAGCGGCGCACUGGACCUUUUCUGACGCUGAGGCGCGAAAGCCAGGGGAGCAAACGGG
rnacentral:rRNA from 1 species